rnacentral:rRNA from 1 species
UGGCGCACGGGUGAGUAACGCGUAACUGACCUACCCCCAAGUCGUGGAUAACAGGCCGAAAGGUCUGCUAAUACAUGAUGUGCUGGCUGCUCUUGUGCAGUCAGUAAAGGUUUACUGCUUGGGGAUGGGGUUGCGUUCCAUCAGCUAGUUGGCGGGGUAAAGGCCCACCAAGGCAACGACGGAUCGCCGGCCUGAGAGGGUGGCCGGCCACAGGGGCACUGAGACACGGGUCCCACUCCUACGGGAGGCAGCAGUUAGGAAUCUUCCACAAUGGGCGCAAGCCUGAUGGAGCGACGCCGCGUGAGGGAUGAAGGUUUUCGGAUCGUAAACCUCUGAAUGGGGGACGAAAGGCCCGUAAGGGAGAUGACGGUACCCCAGUAAUAGCACCGGCUAACUCCGUGCCAGCAGCCGCGGUAAUACGGAGGGUGCAAGCGUUACCCGGAAUCACUGGGCGUAAAGGGCGUGUAGGCGGUUUACUAAGUCUGGUUUUAAAGACCGGGGCUCAACCCCGGGGAUGGACUGGAGAC